AAAAAUAAGACAAGCCGACCCAGCAGUUCAGCCAGCCGUCGCACGCACAGGGUGAGAGAGUGAGACGCCGCCGGUUGCUUCGCACGGCUGCGUCGCCGCCGCCGCCGCCGCCGGCGACCAGGAGGCAGGACGCCCUACCACAUAGCUACCGGCUACUGCGAGCCGGCUGUUUGAUGAAAUGUCAGAGCUAGCUUCAAUCCCCUGCAGUUCCAAGAGGGCGCGAGGCACUAGUGAUGGUGUCGACAGGCUCAGCAGCCUUCCAGACGAGCUGCUACAUUGCGUGAUGUCCUUCCUGCCGAUGCCGGAGGCCGGGCGCACAAGUCUGCUCUCGCCGAGGUGGCUUAAUCUCUGGGCCUCUACGCCAUACAUCCGCAUCGACCACCAGGACUUUAUGGAUGACGGCAAGCUGAAGAAAUUCGGGGACCGCCUGCUGCUCAUGCGCGACAGAACUACUUCCUUGGAUAAAGCCUGGAUCUCUGUGCACCAUGUUGCUGAUAGGACCAUGUGUUAUGAGUGGAUUCGUCAUGCCAUCAUGCACAAUGUUCGUCUCCUUCAUGUUUCUGGAUCUGUCCUUUUGGAUAGCGCAGCCAUGUUUCCUUCAUAGCACCUCAGAACAGUCAGGCUCCGAUAUAACUUGUUGAGACAUGGGUUCUUUAGGCCACUGAACUGUGACUGCCCAGUGCUUGAGCAUUUAGAGCUGGAGCAUUGUGGUUUGUGGGACCUGAAGGAGAUAUCAUCGAGGUCACUCAAGGUUCUACGUAUCAUUGGUUGCGAUAUCUUUGAUGGUCUCGUGAUUUGUGCUAGCAACCUUACCCAUGUCUCUAUUGUUGACCCAAGCUGUGAUACUGGUGCUAUAGUAACUAGGGAUCUGUCUUCUCUAGUAACAGCCUCGAUUAGUCUGACAUCUAGGUUUCAUUAUUAUAAGCGAAACACAAUAGCGGAUCAUCGUCUACUUAAUGGCCUCUCACAUGCCACCACCUUGGAGUUGCAUGCACCAUUACCUGAGGUCUCGUUCGAGAGGAGUUUGAGGACAUGCCCGAUGUUCAGCAACCUGACAAGCCUGGUGCUGGGCGAGUGGUGCAUGGCUGCUGACUUCUACCCGCUGCUUCGCAUCCUCCAGCGCUCGUGCAAGCUGAAGGAGCUAAAACUUAAGCUCACAAAGGAGGAAUUUAGUACGUGCAAGGAUUCUGAACCUGCUCUGUCGUCAACAAGGGGAGCACUGCCGUCGGGCUCAGGCAGCCACCCUUGCAUCGAGAGGGUCAAAAUCUGCUGCCAUGAACAUGAUCCAAGGGUUAGCUCGUUGGUGCAGGCGUUGCAGCUGAUUGUCGGUGAUGUGAAAAUCAGCAUCGAGCAUCGCUGAUCUAUGGUAAACUAGACCUUGUUUUGUUUGGGGGACCUGCAACCGUUGGUCAGUGCCGAAUUAAUGUGUGGAGACAAGAUUGCUUUGGAGACGCUGGCGUUAACGACACAAGGGCAUGUUUUAGACAAUGGGUGUGGAUGUGUGGUCGAAUUUUGCUAUAAUCCACAUGUGAUGGUUAAUCUGACUAGUGUCAUUUGCAUGAUGGAUUAUGAGCUAGUUCUUUGAAAACGCUAUGUAAUGUGAGUUCUGAAAUCAUGUUUUAGAUGAUGGGUAUGAUCAAA